rnacentral:misc_RNA from 1 species
AGAUCCGGAAUCACGAUGACAUCGAUGCUUCGAUCGGUACGCUAAGAGAUAAGCUUGUUCCCAUUGUCAGUAGCCAUCUGGGAUGGAUAUAGAAGACGAUCCACGUUCGGUUGUGUGCAUGAAAAUUCGCGCGAAGGAUGUCGUUACCUAAGCGUAGAUGUGGACAUAGAUAUCGUCCUCCCCGUUUUUCACCUCAUUCUUCGCGUCCACUCGCGUUACGGGAACUCGUAGCGACCGACGUACGCCAAAAAAAGAAGAGGAAACGGCAGAGAAGCGAAAGAAUGGAGGGAGGAAAAAAUCAGAGCCAACCCCCAUUUUCAUCUGCAUGGGAUUCGACGUAUGGACGACGAGGUAGCCACAACUAGCUAAAUAAGAGACAGACGGGUAAAAAGGAAACCUUCU